rnacentral:rRNA from 1 species
UGUGUAGGUGGCGCCGUAAGUCGGGUGUGAAAUUUCGGAGCUUAACUCCGAAACUGCAUUCGAUACUGCGGUGCUUGAGGACUGGAGAGGAGACUGGAAUUCAUGGUGUAGCAGUGAAAUGCGUAGAGAUCAUGAGGAAGACCAGUGGCGAAGGCGGGUCUCUGGACAGUUCCUGACACUGAGACACGAAGGCCAGGGGAGGCAAACG